rnacentral:rRNA from 1 species
AUGCAGAUCUUCGUGAAGACGCCGACGGGGAAGACCAUCACGGUGGAGGUGGAGAGCGGCGGCGCCGUCGACAGCCUCAAGGCCAAGAUCCACGAGAAGGAAGGUAUCCAGCCGGACCAGCAGCGCCUCAUCUUCGCGGGGAAGCAGCUCGGCGACGGCCGCACCCUGGCCGACUACAACGUCAAGAAGGAGUCCACGCUUCACCUCGUGCUGGGCCUCGCCGGCGGGGACAAGGGCUCCUGCUACCCGCCCAAGAUGGAGCCUAACCUGCUCGCGCUCGCGCUCAAGUACAGGCAGCACAGGCUUGUGUGCCGCAAGUGCUAUGCACGCCUGCCCCUCAGGUCUGCCAACUGCCGCAAGAAGAAGUGCGGCCACAGCAAUGAGAUCAGGCCCAAGGAGAAGCUGCGCUACCACUGA